rnacentral:rRNA from 1 species
AUUGAACGCUGGCGGCAGGCCUAACACAUGCAAGUCGAACGAGUGGCGGACGGGUGAGUAAUGUCUGGGAAACUGCCUGAUGGAGGGGGAUAACUACUGGAAACGGUAGCUAAUACCGCAUACCAUGAGAUGUGCCAAGAUGGGAUUAGCUAGUGGGUGGGGUAACGGCUCACAAAGGCGACGAUCCCUAGCUGGUCUGAGAGGAUGACCAGCCACACUGGAACGGAGACAAGGGCCAGACUCCUACGGGAGGCAGCAGUGGGGAAUAUUGCACAAGGGGCGCAAGCCUGAGGCAGCCAUGCCGCGUGUAUGAAGAAGGCCGUCGGGUUGUAAAGAACUUUCAGCGGGGAGGCGUUACCCGCAGAAGAAGCACCGGCUAACGCCGUGCCAGCAGCCGCGGUAAUAC